CAGCAGCCGCGGUAAUACGUAGGUGGCAAGCGUUGUCCGGAAUUAUUGGGCGUAAAGGGCUCGCAGGCGGUUUCUUAAGUCUGAUGUGAAAGCCCCCGGCUCAACCGGGGAGGGUCAUUGGAAACUGGGAAACUUGAGUGCAGAAGAGGAGAGUGGAAUUCCACGUGUAGCGGUGAAAUGCGUAGAGAUGUGGAGGAACACCAGUGGCGAAGGCGACUCUCUGGUCUGUAACUGACGCUGAGGAGCGAAAGCGUGGGGAGCGAACAGGAUUAGAUACCCGCGAGUCCCUGUCUCUUAUACA
rnacentral:rRNA from 1 species